CGUAACUGUGGGGUGGUGUGAAGAUUCUGCCCUAGGUAGAAUGUGAACAAGCUGUCCGUCCAGGUGUCGCGGUGACCUGUGGCUGCCACAACAAGAUAACACAAACUCAGUGCCUUAAUACAAGAGGACUUUAUUCUCUCACAGUUCUGGAGUCCACAAGUCCCAGAUCAAGGCCGAUGAAUAAAAUCACAGAUCAUCCUACUUUACAUACGGAGAAAGGAGAGCUCGGAACAUCUGUGCUGAUACUUCACUUUUUCACGAUGGAUACAAAUAUACAACUAGUCCAUCUUCAUAUGAAGACAGAGAUUAACUGAUUUACCGAUAUUGAGAAGGAAAAUUAUGAACUACAAUUCUCUUGUACAAACUCAAGUCUGUAAGACUGUCCCAAAGUCCGGUUUUCAACCACAGUUAUACCAGAGCCAUUAUGCACUUGA